AUGGACGGAUCUGACAGCAGGCAGUGCCAGCUUGGCAUCUCAGGGGCUCGGAACACGCUGCCAGCACUCCCUACAGAAAUACAGAGGGACCAAUCUCCUCUGGGAGGGAGAAAGAGAGAAAAAACAAAGAGAGGGGUAAGUCUGGAUGAAUCUGGAGAUGGUGAUCAUGGAAUAUCAAACUGUAAGGAACCUCAGUGCUCAUCUCUAAGGGCCUGGAAAUAUGCCAGGUGAACAAUGGCUUCAUACAUCUGGCUGUACUGUUCUGCCUCUUUCCUAUCCUCUUACAGUUCCCCUCUCUCCUGAGCCACCUAUAUGAUUCAUUAUUAAACCAAGAGUAUAUCUCAAGCUUGUGGUGAGGUUCUCUAGUACCCCAUUCAAUCCCCUUGUAAUUCCAGGGUGAGGCAAGAACUGGUUUUAAAUUAGUUUCACAGUGAACACUUGAAUCUCUCUCGCUCUCAAAGAGUGACCUCAUUAAACAGAUGAGCCACAGGGCCUGAGAGCAAGUACAAAAACAUACACACACUCAUGGAGAAGCAGACAAAUACUCAUAAACACACAGAGACAAACUAUCACAGACCAGACUUAUUAUCACUAACAGAAAUUAUUGUCAAAGCUAAAAACUGGAAACAAUAUUGUUAGCCAAAAUAAAAUUAUUAGUUUGCAUAAAACUAAACACAUGAGAGUUUUAAGUACUUUCUGCGUCUGUAUUUCUGUAGCUCAAAUAGUAGAGCAUGGCAUAAGCAACACCAAGGUUACAGGGUUGGUUCCCAAUGAAUGCAUGAACUGAAAAUGUAUAACUUUAAUGUAACAUAAGUUGCAUUGGAUAAAACAUCUGCCAAAUGUAUUAUUUUCAAGAUGACAACUAAAUAAAAAAAUAAACAAAAUACAUUUUCAAAGCACAUCAAAUAAUAAAUAAAUAAAAAUAAAUAAAUAAAAUGAAAAACAUACUAUUUAUGCAUAACUAAAACUAAACAAAAAUAGAAACAGGAAACCAACAUAUAGAAUACAUUUUUUCCAAACUAUAAUAGUGCAAUCAAAGACCAAACACAAUUGUAUUUCUGUUUGCUUCGCAUGCACGCAAACAAGUUG
rnacentral:lncRNA from 1 species